AUUGAAUGCUGGCGGCAGGCCUAACACAUGCAAGUCGAACGAGUGGCGGACGGGUGAGUAAUGUCUGGGAAACUGCCAGAUGGAGGGGGAUAACUACUGGAAACGGUAGCUAAUACCGCAUACCAGCGGAUGCGCCCAGGUGGGAUGAGCUAGUAGGUGGGGUAACGGCUCACCUAGGCGAAGAUCCCUAGCUGGUCUGAGAGGAUGACCAGCCACACUGGAACUGAGACACGGUCCAGACUCCUACGGUAGGCAGCAGUGGGGAAUAUUGCACAAUGGGCGCAAGCCGGAUGCAGCCAUGCCGCGUGUAUGAAGAAGGCCUUCGGGUUGUAAAGUACUUUCAGCGAGGAGGCGUUACUCGCAGAAGAAGCACCGGCUAACUCCGUGCCAGCAGCCGCGGUAAUUC
rnacentral:rRNA from 1 species